ACUCACAGAGAUCCGCCUGCCUCUGCCUCCCGAGUGCUGGGAUUAAAGGCGUGUGCCACCAACGCCCAGCAAGUGUGGGGCAUUCUUGAGGACAACCAACUUACCAGCUCAAUAACACUGUGCCUGCUGUCGCAGGCCUGUCAUUCCAUCUGCUUGAGAGGGUCAGACAGGAAGACCAUGAAUUCAAGGCCAGUCUGAUCUACAGAAGGAAUUCAAGGAUAGCCGGAGCAAUUUGGGAAGACCCUACCUAGAAAUAAGUAAAAAGAGGUCUGGGGGUGUGGUUCAGUGGUAGAGCCCCUGCCUAGAAAUCCCCAGUGAGAGGCUGGGGUGUGGCUCAGUGGUAGUGGACUUGCCAGGCAUACUCGUGGUCCUGGACUCAAUCUUUAGUUUCUUAAAAAGGGUGGAAAGCCUCUUCUCUUCUGAGAUUACAUAGCUCACCCAUGAGCAGUGUGUGGUCCUGCUGCCAUCCUAGUUUAGAAAAUCUUUGUAUUAAUUUUUUUCUUUUUUUAAAUACUUUUUUUUUUAGGUCAAGCAGUGGUGACGCACACCUUUAAUCCCAGUACUCGGGAGACAGAGGAAACCCAGAAGUACCCAGAUGUCCAGCAAAAGAAGAUGAAAAUACAAAUCCAAACACAGGGAGGUUCUGAGAUACCACUGCUACUUUUACAAGGCACAGAAAAAAAGACCAGAGGACCGGAAGAAUUGUCACAAAUCUAGAAGCUGGGUGGAGAGCUUCCACAUAACGGAUAGCAACUUAAGGUGACAACUUGCCCAAGGAACUCAAAGAGGAGUCUCAGGCGUCCCUGGCCCUUGGUACCUCUGGAGAUCCGCCAGGCUGAGUGCGAGCGAGGUCCUCGUGGAGAUCGAAAGUGACUAGACUCCUCAGGGAGUGUGAGGAGCGUCGGCCAUGACACCGGAAUUCGGCCUGAGUCAGCCGAGGGCCGGCUUUCUCCCGUGCCUGCCGCCAGAGGACACCGGAGAACGCCGGGCUCUUUGGCAGGCGAUUGACUCCCUCUCUGCUGGCCAGCACCGGCACCGGCACACCGCGGGCUUUGCGACCUAUCACCAGCAGGAAGUCAGGAGCCUUUUCUCAAGUCCUUGAACAUGCAAAGGAUGUUAUUAUUAUCUCUUCUCGCCAUGUGACCAAAAGUGUCCACUCAGAGUCGAUACCUCAACGUGGACCUAGGUCUAGACAUCUGUCGUUUCUGCCUAACAGCUGUUAUCUAUGAUUUUCUUUCCCAAUAAUUGAUUUUUAAAAUCACCAGUUGUAGGCUUUAAAAAAAAAUCUAGUGAAAGUACAGAGAGUCUCAUUCACCCCUCACCACCUCCCUCCCCAACUUCUGCUAGUAUUAAUAUCUUCACAGCAAUGUGAGACAUUUGUUUCAGCUGGUAAGGCCGCAUUAACAGUGAUGCGCUGGGCAAUCUCAGUCAGCGUGACAGGAUCUAGUCACCAUGGAAACAAGAUUCUAGCCAUACCUGUGAGGGCUAUCCAGGUUAGGCCGGCCCCGGCCGUGUCCCGGAGGACUUACCCAGGCUGGGUUAUGCCAGGUGAGAAGGCCCACCCUAACUGCAGGCAGUCCUAUCCCAUGAGCUGGUGGUCUAGGACUGAGCAGAAGGGAGAAAGGGAGUUGAAGGCAGUCAUUCAAGUCUCUCUUCUUCCUGACUGCGGGUACAAUGUGGCUCACUGUUUCAAGUAGCUUCCCUACCAGGCUGGGCUGUGCUCUCACGGAGAUAAAAUGAACCCUUCCUUCCUUAAGCUGCUUUGGUUGGUAAUUUUGUUACAGCAAUGAAUAGAGUAGCUAAUACAUUUUUGUUGUUGCCUCCAAGCUCUGGUGAUCGUGGAUAGAACUGCCACAAACAUUCUAACAUGGUUUAACUCUUCUGGGUUAAUGCCGAGGAGCGCUGCAGACAUUCCAGGUAUUACGAGUGUGCUUAGUUCUUGUGAGAAAAAGGCCAAAGUGUCCUCAAGAACAGCCUUGUGGCUUGGCAUUCCCACCUGCAACAAAGGAGCAUUUGUGGUACUUCAUACCCUCACAAGCAUUUGGUGAUAUUGAUGUCUUGGAUUUGAGGCAAUGAUGGCUUGAAAGAGAAUGACCCCAUGGGCUCAUAUGUUUACAUGUUUAGUCCCCAGCUGAACUGCUUGGGAAAGAUUAGGAGCUGUGUCUUGUUGGGGGUGUGUGGACUUUUUGGAGGCAGUAUGCCCUUGUUGGAGGAGGGUGGCUUUAUUGUAGGAGGUACUGUGGGUUUGGGCUUUGAAGUCAGUCUCCAUUCUCUCUCUCUCUCUCUCUCUCUCUCUCUCUCUCUCUCUCUCUCU